GACGAACGCUGGCGGCGUGCAUAACACAUGCAAGUCACGGGGGCCAGCAAUGGCAACCGGCGAACGGGUGCGUAACACGUAAGCGACCUACCUCGAUGUGGGGCAUAGCCGGCCUAACGGCCGGGUAAUUCCGCAUGUGAUCCCGGAGGGGCAUAUCUCUGGGAUGAAACCAGUAAUGGGCAUUGAGAGGGGCUUGCGGCCUAUCAGCUAGUUGGCGGGGUAACGGCUCACCAAGGCGACGACGGGUAGCUGGUCUGAGAGGAUGGCCAGCCACAUU
rnacentral:rRNA from 1 species